CACGCUGACUGUGCCACGGCCCUGCGUUUGUUCAGUGUGGUGUGUCAAGUUUCGUGCUAAGAGCUGAAACUACCGCUGUGGCGUCGCAGGGCAGCGCCUGGCAGGACAGAGCAGAAGCCUCAGGGGAGCCCCCAGGGCCUGCGACAUUCAGCGAAGCCAGGAAUGUGGGUGCAACGGCCAGGACAGGCUGCGCUGAUGGCGGUGUGCGCGCCGGCCAAGGGGAGCAACAGCCAGGAAGUAGCUCAGUGGUCCUCGAAGUGGCCCUGGACAAGACAGAUGACCUCUGCUAACGUCCAUUCCAGUGUCAGGAAAAAGAAGAUUCCAGAACCUCGUUUUUUUAGGGUUUUGUGAAAAGUGAGAUGAAACCCAUGAGCGCCUGGCGCACGGUCAGCACUCGCGGCCUUUGCGGGGUGGCGCAGCAGGGAAGCCGGGGACAGGACGGCGCCUGGCUAGCUGCGGGUGGAAACCCAGCCGGUGUAAAAGCGGGGAACAGCUAAAAGCGGGGAACAGCCACCUCACCCGGCGUUGUGAGCCUUAGCUGAGCAAGCCUGAGACUGCAGCAGGCGAGUGCGGACGUCAGCAAGUGCUCAGCGAGAAGCGGCCUCGCAUCCUGUAGCCGCCAGAAAGUGACCGGCAUGUCACACGUAUGUGCGUGACAAGCACUUGGGAACUGGAGUGACUGUCCGUUUAUUCGUCCCUUCAGGAGCCUGUCCAGGAUCCAUGACAUUUGUCAUAUUUCCUUAAGGUGCCUCUUGGCUAUGACAGUUUCUCAGACUUUACUUGUUUGGGGAUGACCUCAGUAGUUGCAAGGGAUGUUGGUCAGAGUUUCUGAGUGUCCCUCCUUUGUCUGAUGUUUUUCUUAUGAUUAGACUGAGGUUACGGAGAGGAAACCUCUGAGGUGAGGCAAACUCCCAGUCACAUCAUCUGAGGGUCUGUCUGGCCAGCAUGACUUACGGAUAUGGGUGGUGACCUUGCUCCUGACCACGGGAAAUUUUUUUAGGUUUCUCCACAGUAUCAUUGCCCUUCCCCUCCCUUUUUUCUGUUCCCUGCUCUAUGGAAGGAAUUCCCAGCCAGGACCUCACGCUUGGGGAGCAGGGAGUUGUCGUUCACCUCCUUAAGGCAAAGUGUCUAUAGUAUUAUCUGGAAUUUUCCUGCAGGGGAGCUUUGUCUCGCCAUAAAACUAUUCAAUCAUUUAUAUCGCUAUGGAUUCAGCUAUAUAUACAUAU